rnacentral:snRNA from 1 species
CUUGCCUCCGAAAAACAUAAACUAAGACUCGAACGAUAUAGAGAAGAUUAACACGGCCCAUGAGCAAGGAUAGCAUGCGAAAUCAUCAAACACUCCAUAUUUUG